CAAGGAGAAACGAGCAAAAGAUACAGGUUCUACAGUGGGCUGGCCAACCCUCUUAACCAUCAGAGUGUAGCAGAAAGAGAUAGUGAGCACAGGCAGCAGGGCGGAGUCGGACUAUGCUCCCCACCUCUGUCCUCGCCUACUCAGCUCUACUCACCUGUCACCCAUCUGCUGUAAUCACUCACCUGCCAAUCAUCACGGAUUAUUACCCUGUGGAGUCUGCUCCCUUGCUGAAUCGUUGUGCUGACUUGUGUCAGUGUAGACCCGGCUUGGCUAGUGAGUUCCUUGUGUUUCCUAAUGCGUCUCCCUAAUCUGUUCUUCUUGUGCAGACUUCUCUAUCCCUACCUGUUUCUCCUGCCCUGUGGACCCUGAGUGGGUGUGAGUGAGUGUGAGUGAACUUUCUUGGAUUGGAUUUGGAGUUUUUGUGACUCGUGGACUGUGUGAAGAGGAGUGUGAAGGUUUCCCUGCCCUGGACAUUCUCCCCCUAGAUUCCCUGGAGCCCCCUUUCCCUGCUGCUGUAUAUAUUUCACCUGGUGUGCAUCUGUAAAUAAACCCCUUUCACUUUUCACCAGUUUUGAGUCCUGCACCCAACUAACUUUGACACAAAUGUGUUUCUUACAAGAGCUCUUACAGUGUGCUGCCAAGCUAUUAGAGGAAGCGCUUUUCUUAUAGUGUCUUGCAAGCUUGUUUUUGUUUUUUUGUUUUUUGCUUUAUAUUUUAAUCGCUGCUCUCUAGAAAGCAGACGUUCAAGCAGCUUUUUUGUCCU